GAGUUCAAGAGUACGUGAAACUGCUUAGAGGUUAAACCCGAUGAACCUGAAUAUCCAUUAUGGAAAAUUCAUCAUUAAUUUUUUAAUAUUUAAAAUAUUAUAAAAAUAGUGUGCAAUUUUUCCAUAUAAGGACAUUGUAAUCUGUUAAUGUCUUAAAUAUUUAUCAAAAAAUCUUUAACGUAAGUUUAUUCAAAUUAGUAAUUUUUAAUUUCUAACAUAGAAUAAUUGUUUUAGAUUUGAUAAAUCAUUGACAGAUUAAAUUUUAUAUAAUGCUUAAAUUUUUCGGAAUUUUACAAUGGUAGAGAAAAUCUUAUGAUUUUUUUUAUUUAUAUUGUAUGCAUUUAUAUGAUUAACAAUGCAAUAGAUUCAGGAUACCUUCGGGACCCGUCUUGAAACACGGACCAAGGAGUCUAACAUAUGUGCAAGUCAUUGGGUAUUUUUAAUAAAACCCAAUGGCAUAAUUAACUUAACUGUUUUAAAUGGGAUUAGUUUUUAUUUUAUUAUGAAAUAUAAAUUCAAUCCCGGGGCGUUCUAUAUAGUUAUGCAUAAUGGUAUUUAUAUUAUUUAUGCCUCUAACUAGAGC
rnacentral:rRNA from 1 species